AUGGCGGCGGCGGCGCUCGGCAGAGCUGCUCUCGGUUCGGUGCUGCGCGCAGCCGGGCGGCGCCAAGCGCUGGGCUCGCUGCGGCGGGGCUGCGCGGGGCUGGCGGUGGACGACACGGUGAACGGGCUGAGCGACGAGCAGCGCCAGCUUAGACAGACCAUGACAAAGUUCUGUCAAGAGCAUUUGGCUCCGAAGGCCCAACAAAUUGACCAGGAGAAUGAAUUCAAAGGCAUGCGGGAGUUCUGGAAGAAACUUGGGGAACUGGGAGUUCUGGGGAUCACAGCUCCGGUGGAAUAUGGCGGAUCUGCUCUGGGCUAUCUGGACCAUGUGCUGGUGAUGGAGGAAGUUUCCCGUGCAUCAGGAGCUGUUGGGCUUAGUUAUGGAGCCCACUCAAACCUUUGUAUCAACCAGCUGGUGCGGAACGGCAGCGAAGCCCAGAAAGAGAAGUACUUGCCCAAGCUCAUUAGUGGGGAGCACAUUGGAGCCUUAGCAAUGAGUGAGCCCAGUGCUGGGUCUGAUGUUGUGUCCAUGAAGCUGAAGGCGGAUAAGAAAGGGGACUACUACGUUUUGAAUGGGAACAAAUUUUGGAUCACCAAUGGGCCAGAUGCGGAUGUUCUCAUCGUUUAUGCUAAAACUGACCUUAAUGCCGUUCCAGCCUCCCAAGGGAUAACUGCUUUCAUCGUGGAGAAGGGAAUGCCGGGCUUCAGCACUGCCCAGAAGCUUGAUAAGCUGGGAAUGAGAGGCUCAAACACCUGUGAAUUGAUCUUUGAGGACUGUAAGAUCCCUGCUGAAAAUAUCCUGGGGAAGCUGAGCAAAGGAGUCUACGUUCUGAUGAGCGGGUUGGACCUGGAGAGGCUCGUGCUGUCUGGUGGGCCACUGGGGCUCAUGCAAGCUGUUCUUGACCAUGCAAUUCCAUACCUACAUGUACGAGAAGCAUUUGGGCAGAGAAUUGGCCACUUCCAGCUCAUGCAGGGCAAAAUGGCUGAUAUGUACACCCGGCUGAUGGCCUGUCGGCAGUACGUCUACAACGUGGCAAAGGCCUGUGACCAGGGCCACUUCAAUGCGAAGGACUGUGCUGGAGUGAUCCUCUUCUCGGCAGAGUGCGCUACCCAGGUGGCUCUGGAUGGGAUCCAAUGUCUGGGUGGGAACGGCUACAUCAACGACUACCCCAUGGGGCGCUUCCUGCGUGACGCCAAGCUCUACGAGAUCGGAGCUGGCACCAGCGAGGUGCGCAGGAUGGUCAUUGGCAGGGCCUUCAACGCAGCCUUCAAGUGAGCUCCAGCAGUGGAGGGGCAGCCCGCUGAGCACCAGGAGGCAUUUCAUGUAGAGGCUGGAGCACACAACUUUGUUCUUCCCGCGAUUCCUCUCUCGGCGCUUGUGGAGCCUACCUGCUCUGAUUCUUCCUGUCCAUAAGCCAUCCUCAAUCUCAGCACUGCUGAGCUGAGGUUCAUCCACUGGAUGUACUGCAACCAAAGCAGCUGUGGGCAUGGCUGGAACCAGGGGGAAGCCAUUGCUUGAGUUAAACACAGCAACUCAAUCUAAAAAAUGACCGUGGGGAUGAUUUUAGUUCUCUUUGUAAAACAGAGUGCCAUUAAUAGCUAGCACCUAGCAUGCUACCAGUGGAAAGAGAGAUUUCCCAUUGUGACCUUCCAGUGGGAUGAAUAAUUUCUGUUUUGGGGAACGUGACCCCAGCCGCAUCGUGGGGGCGGCCAUUUGGAGCGCUUGAGCAUUGCGGGCGCCCAACCACUGUUUUAGGUGACAAUUCUUAACAUUUCCUUAAAAUACCCCAUCUGUUUCUGUGUGUACUUCCUUUCCCAGUCCCUCGAGCUAUUUCGGUGCAGCCCAAAGCCUUUGCCUCCCUGACAGCCUGCCUCCUGCGGUGUUAUUCAUCCAGCGGUGUCACCAUCCGUCACUGCGGGAACAGUUAAAACCUCAGACCUGUAUUGUGCCAUCCAUGAAUGAGGCAGGCAGGAGGAGCCUGACUUUCAGGGUUGGGGUUAUUUGGUUUUAUUUUCCUUUUCCUGAAGGGGGUUCUCCUGGCAAAAGCAUGCAUUCACACUCUGCUGUUGGUUGGCUGAAGGAGUCGGAGCGAGCACAGCAGAAUUUGUGGGUGUCCUCAGUGCGUGUUGCAUAGAGCACGUGGAAGUUCUGCCUUAUUAAAGAGAAUUGCACACUCUACUGCCAGCCCUCAUGGGUGAAUCGCGCUGAAAGCCUGGAUGCUGUAAAUACGACAAAAGAAUGAAUGAAACAGCUGCCAUACAGGCAAACUCCCAGACGUUUUAAUGUAAAGAACUUAAAGCUUUUUGUAUUAUUA